UACGUAGGCAGCAAGCGUUGUUCGGAGUUACUGGGCGUAAAGAGCGCGCAGGCGGUCGUUCAAGUCGAGUGUGAAAGCCCCCGGCUCAACUGGGGAGGGUCACUCGAUACUGAUCGACUCGAAGGCAGGAGAGGGAAGCGGAAUUCCCGGUGUAGUGGUGAAAUGCGUAGAUAUCGGGAGGAACACCAGUGGCGAAGGCGGCUUUCUGGCCUGUUCUUGACGCUGAGGCGCGAAAGCUAGGGUAGCAAACGGG
rnacentral:rRNA from 1 species